rnacentral:lncRNA from 1 species
UUUUAAAAUGUCCCAUUUAAUAUUUACAGUUAAAGCAGUGGCAAGAAGACUACAAAAAGAAAGACAUAGCUCUCGGGAAAUCGCACAGCGACACAAUAUCGUCGAUAUUACAGCAACAGACCAGCCAAAUUUCCACACUCAUCGAGGAGACCAAACUGCU